GCUCAAUGAUUUUUUAAAUUGCUGUAGUAUUUUGACUAUACAAAGGUAUUGAAAUAAGAUUUUAAUUGAAUGCUAAGAGAAUGGAAUUACAGAAAAUAGCUUUUUUUAGAUUAAAAAUUGAAAUUUUUUUAAUUUGUGCAGAAACAAUUAUUAAUAUUAAGGACAAGAAGACCCUAUGAAUUUAUAAAUUUAUGUUAUAGUAAUUAAUAUAAAAUAAAUUUUGGGUUGGGGCGCUAAACAAAAAAUAAAAAACUUUUUUUUUAUAAAAYRAUCCCAUUAUUAAUGAUUAUAUGAAAAAUACUCUAGGGAUAACAGCGUUAUUUUUUUUGAUAGCUCAUAUUGACAAAAAAGUUUGCGACCUCGAUGUUGGAUUAGGAUACUUUUUUAAUGAAGAUAUUAAAAAAAGAAGUUUGUUCAACUUUUAAUUUCCUACUUGAUCUGAGUUCAGACCGG
rnacentral:rRNA from 1 species